CCACAAGCCAGAGGUGGGGAGUGGGGAGUGUGAGGCCACAAGUUCAUUCUACUGCCGAAGAACCCAAACUGGGGACCCCAGCCCCUCCUUACUGUCCUCAUCCGGUGACAGCUCUGAAAUCAGCUGAUUUGUUUGUAAGACAAUAAUAGUCUGCAAAUCAAGUGGAAGGUCCCUGGAGGACCCCUCGGGCACAAGGAAGGAAGCCGGUCCCCACCACUGGCUGCUUCCUGAAUGAAGAUGACUCUUCUGGGUUGCAAGAUAAGGAGUUGUGACAUCUGACUUCCCUGGGCUCAGCCCGAGUGGCCUCCGGCCUCCUGGAGGUUGACCAAACUCCAGAACUUUCUUUGACCCCCAAAGUCCUGGCUGUUCCCUUCAUGAAGAGCAGUUAACCUUGUGACUUUCCUUCCUCAGGACACGGAAUCUUCAAGCUGCACUGGGUCCAUGGGACGCAGGACCUGUCACCUGAGGCUGAGCCCCACCAGCCAGAUCCCCCAAUGACCAUGGCUCACUGCGCCCCCUUGAGGCUACUGAGUGUGACUCACUCUCUGUGGGGAUUCCUCUGGGAUUCCCUGGAAACCUUAGGGAAGGGCUCAUGGGAGGAUGGUCCUUUUCCUCCUAUGGAAUCAAUAUCUGGUCACCCCAGCUCCCCCCAAGUCUGCCUCAUGAGACAAAUCCAUAAAAAGUUCAGGAAAUUGGAGCUAAUAAGGCCAGUCUCAUGGGUCAUUAUGAGGAUUCAAGUGUC
rnacentral:lncRNA from 1 species